AUUGAACGCUGGCGGCAUGCUUUACACAUGCAAGUCGAACGGCAGCGCGGGCUUCGGCCUGGCGGCGAGUGGCGAACGGGUGAGUAAUACAUCGGAACGUGCCCAGUAGUGGGGGAUAGCUCGGCGAAAGCCGGAUUAAUACCGCAUACGACCUGAGGGUGAAAGCGGGGGAUCUUCGGACCUCGCGCUAUUGGAGCGGCCGAUGGCAGAUUAGCUAGUUGGUGGGGUAAAGGCCUACCAAGGCGACGAUCUGUAGCUGGUCUGAGAGGACGACCAGCCACACUGGGACUGAGACACGGCCCAGACCCCGACGGGAGGCAGCGGUGGGGAAUUUUGGACAAGGGGGAAAUGCCUGAUCCAGGAAUGCCGCGUGUGGGAUGAAGGACUUCGGGUUGGAAAGCACUUUUGGCGUUAGCGAAAAGGACUGUGCUAAUCCCACGGUUCGAUGACGGUACCCGCAGAAUAAGCACCGGCUAACUUCGUG
rnacentral:rRNA from 1 species